rnacentral:rRNA from 1 species
CCUACGGGUGGCAGCAGUGAGGAAUAUUGGUCAAUGGACGAGAGUCUGAACCAGCCAAGUAGCGUGAAGGAUGACUGCCCUAUGGGUUGUAAACUUCUUUUAUAUGGGAAUAAAAUGUUCCACGUGUGGGUUUUUGUAUGUACCAUAUGAAUAAGGAUCGGCUAACUCCGUGCCAGCAGCCGCGGUAAUAAGGAGGAUCCGAGCGUUAUCCGGAUUUAUUGGGUUUAAAGGGAGCGUAGGUGGAUUGUUAAGUCAGUUGUGAAAGUUUGCGGCUCAACCGUAAAAUUGCAGUUGAUACUGGCAGUCUUGAGUACAGUAGAGGUAGGCGGAAUUCGUGGUGUAGCGGUGAAAUGCUUAGAUAUCACGAAGAACUCCGAUUGCGAAGGCAGCUCACUGGACUGCAACUGACACUGAUGCUCGAAAGUGUGGGUAUCAAACAGGAUUAGAUACCCUUGUAGUC